CUGGGAAAGCCCAUCACCUUCUCUCCACUUUCUCCACAUGAAACCAUGGGAUCCAGCAUAUAUGGAUCCAUGGGAAUCAGACCAUAAAUGAGUGAACAGAGGCCGUGAUUGGCAGUUGCAGAGACCAGCUGGGCCUUCAAGUCUCUGGGCCAUGGGGAGGAAGAAUUCCUAAGGACAAUCAGACAACUGAGUGUGAAGAGGGAAUUCGUCAUCAGAUAACCUCUCUCCUGCUCUCUUUGUGAUGGAGAAAGACCAGCACAGAUACAACAGCCCUGGAACCCUGCCCUGGGAAGGAGACAAGGAAGAAGAGAGACUGCAGCACUGUGGGGGCCUCAAUGGAGCUGUCUAAAGCCAACAGUAGAGAUCGGCCUUGUCCUAAGCCUGGAGCCCAGAGAUGCUCAGCAAUACCUUCUUGCCAGACUGGUAGCCCAAGAUUCAGUCCUGGAUCCCUGCAGCUUAGAAGAAUAUAUGUGACUACUUUCUCCUGGGCCCUGGAGAACGAGCAUCAGGAGCCCGUGUUAGCCAGAAGCAGCAGCAGCCUCUGUGUGAAGAAGAUGGAGAUGUUGGGAGCACAAGAUUCUCCUCUGCCCCUGCAGAAAAAUAAAAUAAAAAGCGUCAAGACUUCUUACCUACAUUGGUACAUUGGCA